UGAAUGAAGUUCGAUGUUUCUGUUUUUAUUAAGUGUUACGGGUAGAUGAUCAACGGAAAUACAUAUAAUGUCCACAACUUUUGGAACUGGAUGCAGAAGGUUUCUGAUGAACUGGCUUAAAGCAGGAUAACACAAACUAAAGUAACUGGCAGCAGGAGAUUGUCUCAGUAUACAAAAACAAAUUGGAUGAUGAAGCUGGUGAAGCUACAGUUGAUG
rnacentral:lncRNA from 1 species